AACAGUUUGCAAUUUGCACUGAAAAAAACUGUCUUUUGGAUCUUGAACCGUUUGGUUCUCAGUUAAGUCCAUUAAGUUUAAUGGAGAAAAAAUCCUGGAAUGUUUUCAUCAAAUACCUUAAUUUCUUUUCGACUGAAGAAAGAAUGACAUGGACAUCUUGGAUGACAUGGGGCACUCCCAGAGGGACAGUUCAGACAGCUCACAGAAAGGGAGAAGAUGAAAGACUGACUGUGCUUUGAACAAGGUAUGUCCAAUCUACAGAUUCUGGCACUCACCGCAUCAAACUGGAAGAAAAAGUCAUCCGGCUUGCUCUCCACUGGAU